GGUGGGUGCUGGGGAUGGUUCUUAGUCCCCUCAAGCUGGAUGCAGCCUUGCAGUUGCCUUGGCCUGUCUGUGUUUCCAUCUCCAUAUGGUGAGUGGAAUGAGUGUUUUGUAAUCUGGGUGAAAAUGUACAUUGUUCAUAUGUCUACUUUUGUGUUCUCACAUGAUCCCCAAAGAGGGAGACCACAGAACAGCUUUGGUGGAAGUUGAGCUGUGUGCAUCAGCUGCAGGAGCGCUCUGGAGACACUGAGGGGACUGGGCGUGUCUUGGGGACUGGUCUGUGAGGGUAAGGGAAGUUUCUCAAGCUCACAACAAAUUGCAGUGGAUUUAAAUAAAAAAUGUAGGUGCAGUGCUUAAUAAAGGGUACUGAAAUACUCUUUAUUUUCCAUUUCCCUAACAGGCUUUUUUCAAAAUUACUGCAAGAAGGACUUGAAGUAACCAAGCCUUGCCACUCAGGAGAGAGCAAAGGAUCUGAGAAGUGGCACAUGCCUCCUUCCCAAGCCCCCCACGUCUUGGCUGCUAGCCCUGGCUCCAACAGUCUCUGACUCGAAUGAACACUCAGACUGAAAACCAGGCUUUGCUGAUGUUGCAGAGGGAGGAUCUCAGCUGGAUGCACACGUUGCAGCCAUCCAAGGGGAAUCUGCAAAUGCCAGAAGGAGUUUUGAAGAUUGAAGGAGUAAAGCCAGAAGAACAGGUGGGCAGACUGAAAAUGAACACCCCACUGAGGAGACUUAGGACCCUCUGUACCUCCUGCGGUGGCCUGGAUGUGUCAGGAGUAGUUUCACCUGGAAAAUGUUCCCGCUCCUGGCCCGGCCGGUGCCGUCCCAACCUGGCACCGCGACAGCACGAAGCGGAGGAGCUCAGCGAGCCGUGGCAAGACGAACCAGGCAUGUUCCCCCCGGCUUGCUGAACGCAGGUGCCACAUUUUGCGAAUCCCGGUGUUUUUUCGGGAGCGU